AGGAUGAACGCUGGCGGUGUGCCUAAUACAUGCAAGUCGAGCGGUAAGGUCCCUUCGGGGAUACACGAGCGGCGGACGGCUGAGUAACGCGUGGGAACGUACCCCAAAGUGAGGGAUAAGCACCAGAAAUGGUGUCUAAUACCGCAUAUGCUCUAAGGAGUAAAGCUUCGGCGCUUUGGGAACGGCCUGCGUCUGAUUAGCUAGUUGGUAAGGUAAAAGCUUACCAAGGCGACGAUCAGUAGCUGGUCUGAGAGGAUGACCAGCCAGACUGGGACUGAGAACGGCCCAGACUCCUACGGGAGGCAGCAGUAGGGAAUUUUCCACAAUGGGCGAAAGCCUGAUGGAGCAACACCGCGUGCAGGAUGAAACCUUUCGGGGCGUAAACUGCUUUUAUAUGUGACGAAUAUGACGGUAGCAUAUGAAUAAGGAUCGGCUAACUCCGUGCCAGCAGCCGC
rnacentral:rRNA from 1 species